rnacentral:rRNA from 1 species
AUUGAACGCUGGCGGCAGGCCUAACACAUGCAAGUCGAACGAGUGGCAGACGGGUGAGUAAUGUCUGGGAAACUGCCUGAUGGAGGGGGAUAACUACUGGAAACGGUAGCUAAUACCGCAUACCAUCGGAUGUGCCCAGAUGGGCUUAGCUAGUAGGUGGGGUAACGGCUCCCCUAGGCGACGAGCUCUAGCUGGUCUGAGAGGAUGACCAGCCACUGGUGAGAGAGGACGCGUGCCAAACUUCGACGUGAGGCAGCGGUGGGGAAUAUUGCGCAAUGGGCGGUAGCCUGAUGCGGCCAUGCCGGGUGUAUGAAGAAGGCCAUCGGGGUGUAAAGUACUUUCAGCGGGGAGGCGUUACCCGCAGAAGAAGCGCCGGCUAACUCCGUGCCAGCAGCCGCGGUAAUUC